rnacentral:rRNA from 1 species
UUUAUUGAGAGUUUGAUCCUGGCUCAGGACGAACGCUGGCGGCGUGCCUAAUACAUGCAAGUCGAGCGGACUGAUUCGGGGCUUGCUCCGAUGAGGUCAGCGGCGGACGGGUG